CUUCACACAAUGAUACAGACAGAUUGAAUGAGAGAGUUUCCAGGUAGCCAGGAGUGAUAAGUGCUGGCAGUCACAGAUCCCAGAGUUGUGUCCUGACUCCGGAGGGUGCCUCACGUUUGACAUAGCAACCAACGGGAGAUCAUGGGAGUGACAUCACUGUUUAGGCCAAAAGGUUGCACCGAGGAAGCUGGUCGGAGCAGCAACAACUGGGAGGACAAAAUAUUUUAAAAAAGAAUGUAUUUAAAAAAUGGCGCAUUAGGCAAGGCUCAAGAUUUCAGACAAA